UCUAGGCGAGUCUCAGUGUGAGGUUUGGACCAGUUGGCCACAGAUGAGUCUCAAGCCCCCAACCCAUCUGGAGCCACCUUGGAGAUGAAGCAAAAAAACCUGGAGCGUGUCCAUCUCUUGGCAGAGCCGGUCCGACUCCAUACAUACAAGUACAGCAGACAGGCUUUAAAUGUGGAACCUGAGAAGCGUCACAGCAGAGCCAGAUGGACACGGACCAAACGGUUUGAGCUCCUCGCCUGUGAUAAACAGUCGGUGUUGUGACGAGGAAGAUGAAGUCUAUCUGCAAGAUCUGCGCUCCGUGCUCACCUGGGGCGUCUGAGAUGGCGGGCUCCGUGUUCACAGCUCGGCGUUCUCACCCAUCCACAGCAUGUUGGGCGCCCCGGGGCAGAACGACACCUCUCCCACACUCUCCUGAAUAAUUCUGCCCCAACCAUACGUCUUGUGUC